AUGGACGAAGUCUGACCGAGCACGCCGCGUGAGUGAAGAAGGUUUUCGGAUCGUAAAACUCUGUUGGUAGAGAAGAACGUUGGUGAGAGUGGAAAGCUCAUCAAGUGACGGUAACUACCCAGAAAGGGACGGCUAACUACGUGCCAGCAGCCGCGGUAAUACGUAGGUCCCGAGCGUUGUCCGGAUUUAUUGGGCGUAAAGCGAGC
rnacentral:rRNA from 1 species